AUUGAACGCUGGCGGCAGGCCUAACACAUGCAAGUCGAGGAGCGGCGGACGGGUGGGUAAUGUAUGGGGACUGCCCGAUAGAGGGGGAUAACUACUGGAAACGGUAGCUAAUACCGCAUACUAUCGGAAAACCCAUAUGGGAUUAGCUAGUAGGUGUGGUAAUGGCUCACCUUGGAGACGAUCCCUAGCUGGGCUGGGAGGAUGAUACGCCACACUGGGACUGAGACACGGCCCAGACUCCUACGGAGGCAGCAGUGGGGAAUAUGGCACAAUGGGCGCAAGCCUGAGGCAGCCAUGCCGCGUGUAUGAGGAAGGCCCUAGGGUUGUAAAGUACUUUCAGUCGGGAGGCGUUACCGACAGAAGAAGCACCGGCUAACUCCGUGCCAGCCGCCGCGGUAAUUC
rnacentral:rRNA from 1 species